rnacentral:rRNA from 1 species
UACGUAUGGUGCAAGCGUUAUCCGGAUUUACUGGGUGUAAAGGGCGCGUAGGUGGCGUGGCAAGUCAGACGUGAAAUGCGGGGGCUCAACCCCUGAACUGCAUUUAAAACUGUCAAGCUAGAGUACAGGAGAGGAAAGCGGAAUUCCUAGUGUAGCGGUGAAAUGCGUAGAUAUUAGGAGGAACACCUGUAGCGAAGGCGGCUUUCUGGACUGACACUGACACUGAGGCACGAAAGCGUGGGGAGCAAAC